rnacentral:rRNA from 1 species
GCAGUCGAGCGGACAGAAGGGAGCUUGCUCCCGGAUGUUAGCGGCGGACGGGUGAGUAACACGUGGGUAACCUGCCUGUAAGACUGGGAUAACUCCGGGAAACCGGAGCUAAUACCGGAUAGUUCCUUGAACCGCAUGGUUCAAGGAUGAAAGACGGUUUCGGCUGUCACUUACAGAUGGACCCGCGGCGCAUUAGCUAGUUGGUGAGGUAACGGCUCACCAAGGCGACGAUGCGUAGCCGACCUGAGAGGGUGAUCGGCCACACUGGGACUGAGACACGGCCCAGACUCCUACGGGAGGCAGCAGUAGGGAAUCUUCCGCAAUGGACGAAAGUCUGACGGAGCAACGCCGCGUGAGUGAUGAAGGUUUUCGGAUCGUAAAGCUCUGUUGUUAGGGAAGAACAAGUGCAAGAGUAACUGCUUGCACCUUGACGGUACCUAACCAGAAAGCCACGGCUAACUACGUGCCAGCAGCCGCGGUAAUACGUAGGUGGCAAGCGUUGUCCGGAAUUAUUGGGCGUAAAGGGCUCGCAGGCGGUUUCUUAAGUCUGAUGUGAAAGCCCCCGGCUCAACCGGGGAGGGUCAUUGGAAACUGGGAAACUUGAGUGCAGAAGAGGAGAGUGGAAUUCCACGUGUAGCGGUGAAAUGCGUAGAGAUGUGGAGGAACACCAGUGGCGAAGGCGACUCUCUGGUCUGUAACUGACGCUGAGGAGCGAAAGCGUGGGGAGCGAACAGGAUUAGAUAC